rnacentral:pre_miRNA from 1 species
UGGCUGUGUGUGUCUCUGGCAUGCUGAUUUGUGACUAAUUUGGGAAAAUCACAUUGCCAGGGAUACCACACUGCC